rnacentral:rRNA from 1 species
GAACGCUAGCUACAGGCUUAACACAUGCAAGUCGAGGGGCAGCAUGAACUUAGCUUGCUUUUUCUAGGCGUCGACCGGCGCACGGGUGAGUAACGCGUAUCCAACCUGCCCAUCACUUGGGGAUAACCUUGCGAAAGUAAGACUAAUACCCAAUGAUAUCUCUAGAAGACAUCUGAAAGAGAUUAAAGAUUUAUCGGUGAUGGAUGGGGAUGCGUCUGAUUAGCUUGUUGGCGGGGUAACGGCCCACCAAGGCGACGAUCAGUAGGGGUUCUGAGAGGAAGGUCCCCCACAUUGGAACUGAGACACGGUCCAAACUCCUACGGGAGGCAGCAGUGAGGAAUAUUGGUCAAUGGGCGCAGGCCUGAACCAGCCAAGUAGCGUGAAGGAUGACUGCCCUAUGGGUUGUAAACUUCUUUUAUAUGGGAAUAAAGUUUUCCACGUGUGGAAUUUUGUAUGUACCAUAUGAAUAAGGAUCGGCUAACUCCGUG